GAAGCAGACGUUGCCACAGGUGUCACGUAAAUCAAGACAGUGCUAUGCCAAUGUCAUGCCAAGGCAGUUGAUAUUUGGGCCAGGCGCAGUGGUGCACACCUGUAGUCCUAGCACUUUGGGAGGCCGAGGUGGGUGGUGGAUUGCUUGAGCCCAGGAGUUUGAGAUUAGCCUAAGCAACAUGGCAAGACCCCAUUGCUACAAAAAAAUACAAAAAUUGGCUGGGCAUGGUGGCUCAGGCCUGUAAUCCCAGCAAUUUGGGGAGCUGAGGUGGACAGAUCAAUUGAGGUCAGGAGUUCAAGACCACCCUGGCCAAUAUGGUGAAACCGCCUCUACUAAAAAUACAAAAAUUAGCCAGGUGUGCCUGUAGUCCCAGCUACUCAGGAGGCUGAGGUGGGAGGAUCGCCUGUGCCCAGGGAGGUUGAGACUGCAGUGAGCUGAGAUUGCACCACUGCACUCCAGCCUGGACAACAGAGUUAGACCUUGUCUUGAAAAAAAAAAAAAAGACAGUUGUCAUUUUAGGUCAAACGGACAAAUUCUUUAAACAAAAUAUAAUAAAACAUCAAGGGGAAAUAGAAAAUCUGCAUGGUAUUAUUAUCACAGAAGUUACAAAAAUUAAAACAGUAGUGAAAAAAAUAUCCCACAAAGGAAACCGCAGACUUAGGCGGUUUCAUCAGUUGCAUCCACAAAUGCCUUAGGGGAUGAUUUUAGACAACAGACAGGAGGAAAUGGUCUCAGCCUCACCGUCCGUGGCCACGGCAGCUUCAGUGAGCCAGCCCUGCACAAUCAGCUCUGCAAGGUGUGAUUGGAGGGAACAGGAAACAGAAAACACAAAGAGAAGCCACCCAGAGGGUUGGUGAGGAUACAAAGGGUUUUCAACGCCGCUAGUCAGCAGGGAAAUGCACAUUUAAACCGCGAAAAGGCUCCACUACACACCCACCAGAGUGGCUAAAAUUAGACAGCAGCAUUGUGUGCUGGAGAAGGGGUGAUGCCAUGGGGCUCACAUGCCACAGUGCACAGCCAGAGUGGCACAGACCCCUUAGAACACGGGUGACAUGUACUGGAGCUCAGCACACAUGCACCACAACAGCCAUGUCCCCCCUGGGUCUGUGCCCAAAGGCAGGCACAGCCACGUGCAUGAUUUGAUCCGUAACGGCCCCGGUUCGUGCCAUGGAAUGCCACAUGGAAGAAAGUCACAAUGAGCACCGCUUGCGACAACACAGAUGGACGCCAGACAGAGCCCAGCCCGAGAACCUGGGUACCAGAGCUCCCAGCAUGACUGUUCAUGUGUGGGACUUGGACCCGGUGACCCAUGGGCUGGGUUCACCCGCCUGGUUUCCACUGAGAGGGCCCCGUGGGGCCGGGGUCUGUCUGUAGCCUGACUCGGGUGCUUGGUGCUGGAGUCUGGAAGCAUGCAGGGCUUGUUGAGCUGCACGGGGUGCAUCUGCCAUGACACUGUGUGGAAAUUGUAUAGCAACAAGUUUUUUAAAAGUGCCUGCCGGCCUGGUGCAGCAACUCAUGCCUGUAAUCCCAGCACGUUGGGAGGCCAAGGCGGGCAGAUCACGUGAGGUCAGGAGUUCAAUACCAGCCUGGCAACAUAGUGAAACCCCAUCUCUACUAAAAAUACAAAAAUGAGCCGGGCGUGGUGGCAGAUGUCUGUAACCCCAGCUACUCGAGAGGCUGAGGCAGGAGAAUCGCUUGAACCCGGGUGGCAGAGGUUGCAGUGCCAGCCUGGGUGACAGAACGAGACUCCGUCUCAAAAAAAAAAAAAAAAAAAAAGUGUCUGCCUCUCAGUGCACCAGCUGAGUCCAGCCAGCAGGACAGAAGCCACUGGGACAUCACACUGAAGGUUCAACAAGGGAAAUGGCAGGAUGAGGGGGAGGUGGGCAUGUCCCCCCAGACAUCCCGGUUCAGCCCCAGAACCGCGGAUGUGAUCCCACGUGCCAGAGUGGACUCGGUGGCCACCAUCACACUUGGAUCUUGGAUGGGAGAUGAUGCUGGGUAAUCGUCUGGGACUGAUGUAACCACAGAGGGUCGGGGUGAGAAUCAGGGAUAUGACCACGGAGGCAAAGGUUAGGGUGAGGCGAAGAAGGCCACAAGCCCGGGAAUGCAAGGAGCACAGCUCUCGAGGUGGAGAGCACGAGGAACGGAGCACCUGGAGCCCCUGGAGGGCAGGGCCUGCCCACACCCCAGUGGCCGCGCAGGGAGGUCUGGUCUGGACUCCUGGCCUCCAGAACCAUCAGAGAACAAAUAUGCUGCUUGAAGCAUGAAAGCUGUGGGGAUGGUGGCCGUGGCUGGGGGACACUCAGGCGGUGGCUUUUCUGGGACCAGUGUCUCUGCAGAGGCUGCUGCUCUGAAAGCAUGGUGGGCCACAGGGCGCCACACCCCCUUGGGUCCUGUGCCUGCUUCAGGAAAGGGGUAAGCAGUGUGGUAUACGCCAAGACCUCCUCCUGGUUUCCCUCCUCCGCAUGGAUCACUCCUCGAACACAGCCCCUGCUUCGUCAGGGUUCCGUAGCCUCACCUAUCGCAGGCUGCACCCCAUCCUUCCUCCAGACCCCUGGCCUGUGGGGCUUACCGGGGCCGAGGCCAACAGACUGAUCUCGUUGCCAAAGACCCAACAGCCACCAAACUGGCUUCAACAGGGCUAUGUGUGGCAGGUACUUCACAGGGGGACGUGUUCUCAUUUUCCUUGGCUUUCUAAUAAACUCUGGUCUAAAGAAAAUCUCUUCUAUAAAAUGAGUGGCCAGUGCCAAGGGGUAGAGACAGAAGCUCCUUCUGGACACUGGCUGCUCCAGUAGAGCCCAUCCUGCCCAGGUACGGAGCCCACCAGCUGCGAUCAGGACACUGCAGUUCCACCGUGGGGGACCCCGGGCCCUCACCUUGUCAGUCCUCUGUUUCAGCUUCGAGGGCUUUGACACAGUCUAAAAUCCACAGGUACUUAGCGCAUUUCUAAGUCCCACCUCAUGAUCAAUCAUAAGACAGGGCUUUGAUGGUAUGCAGAAAUAUCAAUGAAAUCCAAGAGGAAAACAGAACUAAACUCAUCGGGAUGAAUGACAGAUAAACCCUUUAAGCAUGUUUCAAGUCGCCCAGGUGGAGCCUCUGUUGGUCAGUGAAGCUUCAGGGUUCCCAUGAGAUGGAUCUGCAUGAGGCUCAGUCCUCUCUUGAAACACUGCCCAUUUGCAGGAGCGCCGGCCCACAGGGCAGAAGUCAGACUGUCAGAGCAAGUGCCGGUCCUGAAGCUGGAAGGACUUUCAAGGCUCAUUCCCCAAACUCAUUUUUUUUUAAACCUCUGCUCAUCUUAAAGAAAGGAGAGGCAGGCGCCCCAGAAACCUCUCAGGAGUAACUGACACACGUGACUUGCGGUGUCUUCAAAGGAACACUCUGCAACUUGCUACUGUUUAAACAGAGCAAGACUAACAGUCACCAGCAGCUGGUUCACGCAUUAAGGCCCUUUGCAGGUGAAAGAAAACGGCACUGGAGGGCCGACUGCAGAAGCAGACGCAGUGCACGGUGGACAUCUGCCCCUUUUGGGGGCCUGCCACGGUGCUUCCUGAAAACUCAGGUUAAGCUGACUCUGCUGUCAGGCUGAUGAGGCGCCUGCACCCACCUUUGCUCAGCACGCCAGCCCAAAUGGAAGAGCAGGUGCUAUGACAAAAAUCAGUUCUUGUAGCAACUAUUUUUGAUACUGAAACUGAAAAGCGAGAGCAGCAAAGCUAUCCACGGAGCUCCUGACAGUUAGGCCCGGCUUUGGCUGCUGAUGCAGGGGCCGAAUGACGCUAUUUCUGCAGCAGCCGGCCGCAGGCGCUGACCCACCGCGGGAUGUGCCCCAGGAGGCAGAAGAAACGCUGGGAACCGCACCUAACCUUGCCAGCAUCCCCCAGGCAAAGCCAGGCACUUUGAGUUCAUCGGUGGAGUUGGGCGAUACUCCUUUCCCGUUUGUGUGCUUAGCUGCUGCCAACAGGAUGUGCUGGGUGAAGCCUUACAGAACACAGCCAGUUGUGUUUUAUAAAGCAAGGCUCCCCUCCCCCAAAGACAAAUAAAACCACAGGUGUGGAAGGGACACCCUCCACCGCACCCCGCCCUAGUAAUCUGACACCGCAGGCAAAGGCACGGCCUGUGUGGGUAAGAUCCAUUG
rnacentral:lncRNA from 1 species